CUACGGGAGGCUCCAGCGAGGAAUAUUGCACAAUGGGGGGAACCCUGAUGCAGCAACGCCGCGUGGAGGAUGACGCAUUUCGGUGUGUAAACUCCUUUUAUAUGUCAAGAAAAUGACGGUAGCAUAUGAAUAAGCACCGGCUAACUCCGUGCCAGCAGCCGCGGUAAUACGGAGGGUGCAAGCGUUACUCGGAAUCACUGGGCGUAAAGGACGCGUAGGCGGGUUGGAAAGUCAGGUGUGAAAUCCUACAGCUUAACUGUAGAACUGCACUUGAAACUUCUAAUCUAGAGUAUGGGAGGGGGAGAUGGAAUUAGUGGUGUAGGGGUAAAAUCCGUAGAUAUCACUAGGAAUACCUAAAGCGAAGGCGAUCUCCUGGAACAUUACUGACGCUAAGGCGUAAAAGCGUGGGGAGCAAACAGGAUUAGAUACCCGGGUAGUC
rnacentral:rRNA from 1 species